CCCUGCCUUUUGUACACACCGCCCGUCGCACCUACCGAUUGAAUGGUCCGGUGAAAUCUUUGGACUGUGACUUUGCCUUGUUCAUUCAAGGCGCUGUCAUGGGAAGUUGAUUAAACCUUACCAUUUAG
rnacentral:rRNA from 1 species